GCUGAAGGUGAUAUUGCAUGCUGAAGGUGAUAUUGCAGGCACCAUCAUGGCCACAUCGAAGGUCCUAAGCUCUAGAUACGCAAAAACAGCCCCAACCAGAGUUCAGGCCACCAAGGUUGUGCAGUAGCUGGCCCAUCUCGUGCAGCGAUCAUGUGUACACGGGGUCCUCGGUGGCGGUGGUAAUUCUCUCCCGCAUGGGGAUUCCAGUAACUAUUAGUUAUACAGGAAUAUGUACAUUUCCCACGUGUUUUCUAUUUGAGGAGAGGUACAAAACAACUUACAUAUACUGCAACUUAUUUGGCUUUACUGUUUAAAUGAAAACUUGUCACUGCCUAUGAUGGACACUCAAAUGUAUUGUUUCUGUUCCGUGUGUCAAUAUGUGUGCUUAUGGAAGUUGGAGCACCGAAUCUGCGAAAUCUCGAAGUAAGUUUAGUGGCUCACCAAUCAUUUGAGUGCAUGCCUGGUAAGUCUCCACAUGAGUCAUCCAUGACAGCCUGGCCUGGAGCUACGGCAAACGUGCAGGGACUUAGGGAGUUGGUGCAGCUGAUAUUUCUCUCCCUCCUGGUGCACACCCUUCCUUCUGUGGCCACUCCUAUGUUACUUUUCUGCCCCUCUUCUGAUUUUGUACCUUCUCUCUUUUGUGUCUGUAUACACAUUUGCUUGUUAAUCGACUCUUGCGUUGUUGAUUGUUUUGCAACCUCACUUGUUGGUUCAGAUAUAAGAGUAACACCUCAGAAAGGUGACAACAAAAAUUCCCUCAUGUCCUCACUUCUGUGGUGGCGUAUGCAAUUUGACUGACCUAUCUUGCAGGUAACUCAAGCGGCUGCUGAUACUAGGGAGCACUCGAGGAUAUACAUUGCCACAGUUCUGAAGGCAUUAUGUAAAACGGAAAGCCACGGUGAAGUUCUUUGCAAUUGCCACCACAAGGGCAGAUGGUUGGAGCGGAGUGAAGGCCACCUGUAGAGCAUGAGAGAAAGAGAACAUCUUUUACUCACACUUGCAG